GUAGCGCCGAAUUUGAUAGGUGCUUGUUUCGUACAAGUUAAACGGGAAGUUUGGUGAGUAACAAAUCCAACGCUGCCCCCGCAACGGUGAUCGACUAAAAGUAAUAUAAGCUUAAAUGCUAACCACUGUAUUGAAAAAUAUGGGAAGGAUAUUACCAGAGUAAUUCAGUCGUCAGCCCGGAUACCGGCCUACAGAUAAUAAUUGAU
rnacentral:ncRNA from 2 species